CUUGGCCUACGGGGGGCAGCAGUGAGGAAUAUUGGUCAAUGGGCGGGAGCCUGAACCAGCCACGCCGCGUGAGGGAAGAAGGUACAGCGUAUCGUAAACCUCUUUUGUCAGGGACAAAGGCGGGGACUAGUCCCCGGAUGAGGGUACCUGAAGAAAAAGCAUCGGCUAACUCCGUGCCAGCAGCCGCGGUAAUACGGAGGAUGCGAGCGUUAUCCGGAUUUAUUGGGUUUAAAGGGUGCGCAGGCGGCCUGUUAAGUCAGCGGGAGAAGUCCGGUGCUCAACCCCGG
rnacentral:rRNA from 1 species